rnacentral:rRNA from 1 species
AGGGUUUGAUCCUGGCUCAGAACGAACGCUGGCGGCGUGGCUAAGACAUGCAAGUCAAACGGACCGUUAAUUUAUUAAUGGUUAGUGGCGAAAGGGUUAGUAAUGGACAGGUAACGUACCCUGUGCUUCGGGAUAGCGUCUGACUGCUUCGGCAGUCUUCCGAAAGGGGCGGUAAUACCGGAUAAUACCAUGAAUCGUAUGGUUCAUGGUCAAAGAUUUAUCGGCAUAGGAGCGGCCUAUCUCCUAUCAGCUUAUUGGUGAGGUAAUGGCUCACCAAGGCUAUGACGGGUAGCGGGACUGAGAGGUUGGCCCGCAACAUCGGGACUGAGACACCGCCCGGACCUCCACGGAGGGCUGCAGUAACGAAUAUUGGGCAAUGGGCUAAAGCCUGACCCAGCGACGCCGCGUGCGGGAGGAAGUCCUUCGGGAUGUAAACCGCUGUCAGGGGGAAGAAAGUUCGCUUCGGCGGAUUGAUCUAACCCAAAGGAAGUCACGGCUAACUUCGUGCCAGCAGCCGCGGUAAGACGAAGGUGGCUAGCGUUGUUCGGUAUCACUGGGCUUAAAGGGUGUGUAGGCGGGAAAGUUAGCAUUUUGUGAAAGCCCCCGGCUUAACCGGGGAAUUGCGAAAUGUACUGCUUUUCUUGAGGCAAGUAGGGGUGCAUGGAACUCUUGGUGGAGCGGUGGAAUGCGUAGAUAUCAAGAGGAACGCCAGCGGUGAAAACGGUGCACUGGGCUAGUCCUGACGCUGAUACACGAAAGCGUGGGGAGCGAACGGGAUUAGAUACCCCGGUAGUCCACGCUGUAAACGAUGCCUACUACGUUGUGGAAGUUCUGACGCUUGCACGGGCCGAAGCAAAGUGCUAAGUAGGCCGCCUGGGGAGUACGGUCGCAAGGCUAAAACUCAAAGGAAUUGACGGGGCUCAAACAGCGGUGGAGCAUGUGAUCAAUUCGAAGCAACGCGUAAACCUUACCUGGGUUUGACAUGCUUGAUGCUGCCCGCGAAGUGGGUUAGCUGCCCUUCGGGGUGAACUGCACAGUGCUGCAUGCUGUCGUCAGCUCGGUCUGAAAUGUCGAUAAGUCUUAACGAGCGACUUGUCGUAGUGGCAAGCGGUAAGCCGAACUCUAACCGAAACUGCGGGUUAACGAGAAAGGUGAUGGACUCAGUCUCUAUGGCUUAUGCCCAGGCUCCAACAGUGC